rnacentral:rRNA from 1 species
GACGUAGGGCGCGAGCGUUGUCCGGAUUAUUGGGCGUAAAGAGCUCGUAGGCGGCUUGUCGCGUCGACUGUGAAACCCGCGGCUCAACCGCGGGCCUGCAUUCGAUACGGGCAGGCUAGAGUUCGGUAGGGGAGACUGGAAUUCCUGGGUGUAGCGGUGAAAUGCGCAGAUAGUCAGGAGGAACACCGAUGGCGAAGGCAGGUCUCUGGGCCGAUACUGACGCUGAGGAGCGAAAGCGUGGGGAGCGAACAGG